GCCGAGGUGGUGCAAUGGCAGCACAGCUGCUUGUUGUCGGCCCCCACAUUUGAGUGGGGGGCCCUGCGGGGCCCAGCAGCGAUCCAGGUUCGAAUCCUGGCCUGGUA
rnacentral:tRNA from 2 species